GGGCCCGCAAGGGUAACCGGCGAACGGGUGCGUAACACGUGAGCAAUCUACCUCGAUGUGGGGGAUAGCCGGCCCAACGGCCGGGUAAUACCGCAUACGCUCUCUGGCUGGCAUCGGCUGGAGAGGAAACAUUCGUGGCAUUGAGAGGAGCUCGCGGCCUAUCAGCUAGUUGGUGGGGUAACGGCCUACCAAGGCUUUGACGGGUAGCUGGUCUGAGAGGAUGGCCAGCCACAUUGGGACUGAGAUACGGCCCAGACUCCUACGGGAGGCAGCAGUGGGGAAUAUUGUGCAAUGGCCGAAAGGCUGACGCAGCGACGCCGCGUGGGGGAUGAAGCAUUUCGGUGUGUAAACCCCUGUUGCUCGGGACGAACAAUCGGCUUUAGCCGAUCUGACGGUACCGGGUGAGGAAGCACCGGCUAACUCCGUGCCAGCAGCCGCGGUAAUACGGAGGGUGCGAGCGUUGUCCGGAAUCACUGGGCGUAAAGGGCGCGUAGGCGGUCU
rnacentral:rRNA from 1 species